CAAGAAACUCAUCUAAAAGAAAAUGACAAUGUAUCUUUAAAAGGAUACAAAAUGUAUAGCACAUUUUCUAAGGUAGAUGAACGUGCUGCAGGCGGAUCAUCCAUUUUUGUGAAGGACAACGUCAUUCAUAGCACAGUCCAACUCACCACGGAUCUGCAGGCAGUUGCAAAUCAUUAGACAAAACAAUUACAUUAUGUUCUUUAUAUAUUCCACCCAAUUCAAUUAUAGAUAAAGCAAAACUCAAAAACCUCACUGAUCAAUU
rnacentral:lncRNA from 1 species